rnacentral:rRNA from 1 species
UACGGAGGGGGCUAGCGUUGUUCGGAAUUACUGGGCGUAAAGCGCGCGUAGGCGGCUUUGUAAGUUAGAGGUGAAAGCCCAGGGCUCAACCCUGGAAUUGCCUUUAAGACUGCAUCGCUUGAACAUCGGAGAGGUAAGUGGAAUUCCGAGUGUAGAGGUGAAAUUCGUAGAUAUUCGCAAGAACACCAGUGGCGAAGGCGGCUCGACUGGCCCGGUACUGACGCUGAGGUGCGAAAGCGUGGGGAGCAAACAGG